AGAUUCUAUCCACACUAUGCAGUCUGUCCACACCGCCGCAAUUCCUCAUCCACACUUCCCCCUCCAUGUUCCCGAUCCACACCGCUGCCGCCACCCUGCUUGCCCCCGGUGGUCGGGGCUAGCCCAGCCGCCACCUCCGCUUCACCAUCGGAGCUGCCCCUCCUCUUGCCCAACAGCCCAGUCGCCGCCUCCCUUGCCAUCUCGCCGACUACAUCGCCAUCUCACUAGCUCCUUCCCUAUCUUCACGACCACCAGUCUCGCUAUCGCCACUCGCCGGUUCCCUGGAGCAUCUCACUGCCGCCACCACCACUCUUCCAUGAUCACCACUUCCGCGACCACCACUUUCGCUCUUCCUCCUCCAGCAGCAGUGAACCGGGGCCCCUUCCCGAGGACGACGACCCGGCCAUGUCGCCGCCGCGAGCACUACAUGCAGCAACACACCAUCCCCGACGACACCGUCCUCCAGUAGCAAGCAGGCCAAAGAUGUCUGUUUCUCGUACUUUAGAGGUUGCAAGUUCCAAACUUAAGAGAAACUCAGAUGACAUGGCUUGGGAAUUUGUUGUGCUUAUUGAUCCAGAUGAUCUACAAACAGUCAAGUGCAUUCUUUGUGGAAAAGAGAUGUCAGGAGGGAUGACUAGGAUGAAGAACCACAUAGCUGGUAUCAAAGGGACAGUAACAUGUUGUAUGCAAGCCACACCAGAUCAGAAAGCUCAAUGUAAGGCUGCACAUGAGGCACCAAAGAAGAGGAAGAGGGAAGAGCAAAAAUAAGAAGAAGAAGUAAGAGCUUUGGUUAGCAUAGAGGCCAAUAACAAUGAGGAUCAACAAGAGCUCAAUGAAGUUGGCAAGGGUGACCCGAACAAGGGGCCAAUGGAUCAAUAUAUUUCUCCAACCGACCCUUCAAUCCCGUUGAACAUGGUAAAAUUUCAGCGGAAUAUUAAUGAUAGUGUUCAUAAGGAGAGAAGCUACCAAGUAGGGAAAUAUUUGGCUAGAUGGUUGUACAAGAAGAAUGUACCCUUUAAUGCUAUAAAUGAUGAUGACUUCAAACAAUUUUUUGAGGCUCUUGGUCGUUAUGGUCCUAAUUGGAAGCAACCUUCACAAUAUAUGAUUUGAGAGAAGAUGUUGUUGGAAGAGGUGGAAAGGACUAAGGAUUUGUUGAAGCCACAUGAAGUUGAGAGGGCGGAUACCAGAUGCUCUAUCAUGACCGAUGCUUGGACAGAUAAGAAAAGGAGGAUCAUCAUGAACUUGUGUGUGCAUUGCAAGUUGGGGACGGUAUUUCUUGGAUCAAAGGCGGCAUCGGUUGAUGCACACACAAGUUUAUACAUCUUCAAUUAUGUGGAUGAGUGCAUUGAGAAAAUUGGGGCUGAUAAUGUUGUGCAAAUAGUCACGAAUAAUGCAUCAAAGAACACGGGAGCAAAUGUGAUGUCGAAAAGUCAAAGGCCCAAGAUAUUUUGGACCUCAUGUGCAACUCACACAAUCAACUUGAUGGUAGAAGAAAUAGGGAAGUUGAAGCAGUUUGCUCCUGCAAUUACCAAAGUCAAACAUAUGACAUGUUUCCUUUAUGCACAUCAUACGACAUUGGCACCGACGAGACUUCAUACCAGAAAAAGAGACAUUGUUAGGCCAGGAGUAACUAGAUUUGCUUCGGCAUUUCUUACCUUGCAAAGUCUUGCUGCUAAGAGGAAACAACUAACGGAUAUGUGUUGUAGUGAGACUUGGGAAAAUUGCAAGCAAACACGAACAAAGAAGGGGAAGGUGGCUCAUUCGACAAUAAUGAGUAGGGCAUUUUGGAAAAAUGUGUCUCUUUACAUCAAGGUUUUCGAGCCUUGGUGAAGUUACUUCGGUUGGUUGAUAGUGAUGGGCAGUCCAUGGCCUUUAUGUAUGGACAAAUAGUAGAAACAAAGAAGGCAAUAAUGCUUGGGGUUGAAAGUUCGGAGAGGGAUUACAAGGUGAUCACAACAGCCAUGGAGAGCAAGAUGAAUGGGAGUCUAGAUACCACAUUGCACAUGGCAGCAUAUGUCUUGAAUCCUUAUUAUAGCUAUGCUACUUCAAGCAUAUUCACCGAUGUAGACGUCAUGUCUGGGUUGAUGGAUGUUAUUGAACAAUUUUAUCAUGAUGAUGAUGACAAGCAAGAUAAAGCACUUAACACAGACUUGCCCAAAUUUAAGAAGGAAGGCAUGUUUGGAAGGUGGCUGCCACAAAAGCCAUUACCAAUGAAAAUUACAAUGUCGGGGAAUGGUGGGCAACUGAUGGACUACAAACUCAUACAUUGAUGCACAUGGCCACGAGGAUACUCAACUUGACCACAAGUUCAUCCGGAUGUGAAAUAAAUUGGAGUGUUUUUAACAAGUACAUGAAAAGAGAACAAAUAAAGUGGAUGUGCGUUGUAGGGACGAUCUAGUUUAUGUUCAGUUCAAUGGAAGAAUGCUAGACAAGAGAAAGAAGUACUCAUCAUCUUCUGAUGUCCUCCUUGGUGAAGAUGCUUCCACAACCCAAGAUAGGAUAUGUGAAGAUGUUGAAAUGGAGGAAGCCGAAUAUGACAAUGCAAUGGAGCCUCGUAGAAGUCUAAGGGUGAGAUAACUACAUGAAGUGAAAGAGUUUGUUUCUAAUGAUGAAAUUGACGUUGUGCCUAUCAAUGAGGAUGAGAUAGAGUUCGAGUCUAAUGAUGAUGGGGUUGGGUUAGAAGAAACCAAUGACAAUGGUGAGGAAGAUCAUAUGCAACCUUGAAUCUUAUGCUGAUUGGUGUUGUGAGUUGUGAGAGAAGAAUUCUACUUUAGACUUUUGGUUGUGACUUGUGAGAGAAUCAAAGAGCAAGAAUCUUGUUAUUCUUGUUUCGUGGACCUUCUUAUUACCUUUUUUAUCCUUGUUUGAACUUUCAUGGACCUUGUUAUGGCCUUAUGUGCACUAUUGUACUGGACCUUGUUAUCAUCUUAUUUGCUUUCUACUAUUAACUAUUAAGUGUUA